rnacentral:lncRNA from 10 species
CAUUUCAAUAGGCAACAGGAGAAGGGGACAGAGCAAGCAGGAAUCUCAUGCCAUUGUAAAGUUUUUAGAUUUGAUUUGGGAUUUCUCAGUCUCCCCUGUGAGCAUUGCAAAAUAUUUCUGCCCAUUCUGGGUAUGAUUAAUCUAUCCAAUCCACAUGAAAAUUACCAUAUUGAGUGCUCCAAAAAUAUUCUGUGUUGAAGAAUCAGUUUAUAAGUUAAUUCCAUUGUAUAGAAUUAAUAAUAAUUAAUUCUACUCUCAAAGGCAACCCUAUGAUGUAGGUAUUAGUAUUUUCAUUUUAACAGAUGAAGAAUUUAAAGUUUGGAGAGCGGAUAAGCAACUUGCCAAAAAUCACAAAGCUGGGCCCCCAGUCAAAUCUAGUUUGGCAACCGCCAGAACCCAUGCUUUCAACCAUUCGCUACUGUCUCUUAUGACUACCAUGAACUUGGAAAUGGCACUGAAGAUAGAAUUCCAAAGAUGUCAGCACCUUGACAGAAUAUUCUUCCCUGGAACUCAGCCACCAAUCAGUGAAGAAGCCCAAACAGCUACAUGGAGAGGCUCACAUGGAAAAGAACCCAGGCCCUCGGCCAACAGCUUCAACUUAGCUCCCAUAUGGCAGCCAGAAUCAACUGCCAGCCACAUGUCUGAGGCCAUCUGGACCCUCAAGCCAUCCUAGCACCCCAGGCAACACCACAUGAAGCAGAAGGAUUGUCCUAUCCAACUAAAAUGGGAGAAAAAAAAAAUAAAAGCAAGGUUUAUAGGCAGAGGUCACUACAGAGUCAACCAUCGUGGUUUCUGACAAGCCUUUUCCAGCUCUGCAGUCCAGAGAUCCUGAACACGAUCAUCUUCUCUAUGUAAUUUCCCAUUCCCUUAAAAUUCCCUUGGAUUCACUUUGCGGAGGGCAGAGAGGUGUGCUUGAUAUGGUGUUUUCUUCAUCUGAGGCCAAAAGAUGGAGCAUCAGGGUAGAAGGAGAAAUUCUUAGAGGAAGCAGGAAAGAGGAGUCCGAGUUGACCACUGGAUGUUUUUUUCUCCUAAUAAUGGUGCCCAAACUUCUUUUUCACCAAGGCUGAAUGGCCAUCCGCAAAAUCUCCAACCUAAGAGACGGUUUCAUCUACUUCCAGGCAAAACUGACAAUGUGAAAAUACCGGAGUCACUGAGCAAAUUCACUCCAGCCUGUGCUGACUGAGACUUACAUCUUACAAUUAAGCAGUGUUUUGUCCUGCCUUACAAAUCAGUAGUUUCCUUAUUGCUUAACAUAAAUACAUCUUAUCAAAAGGAAAAACAAAAUCUUCAUAAAAUAAUAAAACUAUAUAAUGCUACUUGAUACUGCUCUAUCACAAUUUGAGAAUAUCAAACAUGAAUUGAGUAAUCAUCAUUUAUGGGAAAGGAGAAGUGAUUUGAAAUAGUGAUAUUGCCUGGCCCUUCAAUUUAUAAAGUCACAAUGUAAGAAGAAAUGGCGAAAUACAGAAGGAAAUUGAGUUACAGACUAACCCAGGAGGCUGACAAGUAAAAUCCAGAGCGUUCUGGGUUCUGUGCUGCUUCCAUGUCCUCAAGGGAGCACAUCACUCUCACUGUAGUAGACACUACUAUACAGUACCCAUUCUCCCCUUCUUUCUUACUUUAGGGGAAGCAGUUGUGUUCAGGUUAAACACACACCACCACCACCAUUUUCUGGCUUUACUUGUAACUCCAGAUGUCCAUGUGACACAGUUGCGAUUUAAGAUGUAAGCGGUGUGUGAUAGGGUGGGUUCCUGGAAAACGUUGUUUAAAGGGAGUAAAUGUGGCCAGCCCGUGCCUCUUUCCCUUCAUCCUUUUCCUCCUUUCCUGAAGACACCGUGUUGGGAAAUAGAGGAGCCAUCUUACAAUCAUGAGGAAGAGUAGCUGAACUAAGGGUGUCAGGGCAAAAGAAAAAAGCCCUGUGUGUUUCAGCAGGUGUCAUUCUGAUCAUUUGAGCCCAACACAGUCUCUAAUUGACACACUCAUCUCUGUAAAUGAGGAACCUCCUGGAAACUGACCAGAGUCACACACGAUACGUAAAAGAGCCAUGAUUCAAGUCCACGUCUAUUUUCCAGGCGCCCAUUCUUUUUCUUCUUUGUCCCUACUGUUUGCCUCUGCUUCCUCAGUUGAGACCUAGAACUUAUGGUGUUUUCUAGUAGCUCACAACUCCUGGUAAAAGUUCCUGAAAAUGAUUCAUUUCACAAUACUAAAUGACAGACUUAACCUCCUGUUUGAUCUUGUCAUGCCAAAGUGAGUUCAAAGGUAUUCUUUGAACUAGUCCUCAUUGAAACAUUGAAGGAAAUUCAGAGCAAGCUUCCUAAAGAACAGGGCAUUAGUACUGGGCUGUGAAGGUUUCAGGGAUUUCGACCACUGAGGUCAUAGAAGGAAAGGCAUUUCAAGCAAAGAGGACACUUUGAGUGAAAGCAUAAAGAAGGUCAACCCCAGUUUGGCAGGAGCAAAGGAUACGUAAAGAGCUAUACUCACUUUUUUAAAGUUUUUAUGCACUAAAUAUUUCCAAAAAUGAUUCUGGAGGUGACAUACAGUAAACAAUGGAAAUUCAAUAAAACCGCAAAACCAAAAUAAAAAUGGGAAUUAUUUAUAGUGCUGAAUAAUAAACCUGGUAGAAGAUACUAGUACCAGACAACCUAAACUAAGGAAAUCUUCAGCAGCUGAGUGCAAAACUGAAUUUAACUUUCCGGCAGCAAAAGCAAAAAAACAAGAAUGUAAUGUGUUGUAUUGUAGCAUCAAUAAAUGGCAGAAACAGUUUUCCAAGAAUUGAAAGCACUUACUGAGUAUCAAUUACACUGUAGGUUAUUUUUAAUCUAUGUGCAGAACUGCAAGCCUGGGAAUUUUGUUCAAUGCAGUGAGGCUAAAUAGACAGGAAAGGUUGAAAACUACUGUACUAGGAGAUGGAGGUACAAAGAGGAAUAAGACACAGAACCUGCCUUCUAGAAAUUUCUAAUCCUAGAUGAGGGAGAUGAAGAAAUGAAGGCUUAUUGGGUACAAACUAUGUAAUGGGCAUCUUUAAUCUCAUUAAGUCUUAGUAAAUCCUCAACACAUCGCCUCAAGAGUAGCUGUUAUUUAUUAAUUGUCCCACUGGCAGAUAGGAAAACUAAGUUGUUGAGAGGUAGAGUGCAUGGCCAAUGGCACAAAGCUAGUAAGAGAUGGAAUCAAAAAUUAAUCUCAGAACCAUUUGAUGCCUUAAAUCACAUGCUCUUGACCCAGAAGUUUCUAAGUGUAAGAAUAGCAAAUGAAUCUUUUUCUUUUCAGGUGGGGGUACACACUCUUGUCCUAGUGUCUUCUCCCAAGUCCCUUUCCAUGCGGGGCGAUCCCCAGAGACCCCAGCUUGUGCAAUUUAGAUCCACAGGGCCAAAUGAUGUCUCUCUCCAAAUUUAGAUUUUCCUGGCUCUGAUUGCUGAGGUUAUCCCAUGCAGAACAUCACAGUCAGAGGAUUAUAGAUAACACUAUAAUGGGUUCCUCUUCAGCAUCACUGUAAUCAUCAGUGUAGAUUCCUUCUUUACAUGGUCAUUCUUCCACUGACACGCCUAAAAGCCAAGGACGCACUGCUAAAUUGUAAAGCUUUCAAAGCACUUAUUUGGAGAUCUCAGGUUAUGUAAGGUUUAGAUAGUCUGGUGCAAACUGGAGGAAAGUUAGGCAUAUAAUUAGCAUGUUCAAGAAUCUGUAUUAAUUUUUCAUUGAAUACGUAUGUUUUCAGGAUAUGGAAAGUGAAAGUGUUGAUAUUAGAAUCACUAAGAAUAAGCUGAAGGUAUCCUAGAGCUGAUUUAAAGUAGUUCCAAGCUAAAGAUUCUAGGCUUGUAGGAAGGAAGGCUGACAUUUAGGAGUAAAAAUCAGAGAAUCUGAUUUGUUUUCUAGCUAUAUCACAGGUUUGCAUGAUUGAGCAUGACUCAAGUGGUUUUCCAAAUGUCUGAGUUAUAAUACAUGAAUAAGAUGAACUGGGCCUGGAGAUUUUGAGGCUAGGAGUUACACAUUAUGUCCCUCCAUCAUCAAAGACUCCUGGAAUACAGUGUGGUUUUAGAUUAAUUCGUGUAUUCCCAGGCUCUACUCUGAUCCUGGGUCUUCAUAUAAGAAGGAAUCAUAACACAGGUCCCUUAUUUUUAAAAUCCUUUUGGAGAUUCACAUAGCCCUAGACAGGAAUUGGGAGGAUUUUUUGUUUGUUUGUUUUUUGGGGUUUUUUUUCCAGUUUUUUUUAAUUGGGAGUUUUAAAAACCUGCACAAAGGGAACAAGGCAUUCUUCUUAGUCUCAUUCUGAUAGAAGAAGAGUCAAGUAUUAAUCAAGUAUGAUCAGAAGUUCAGCUGCACAAACCAAAAUAAAGAAUCACAAAUCCUUGACUAGUAUCGGAUUCAAGCUUGUGGCACAGAGUCCAGGAGAGUAGGCUCUGGAAACCCCCACCUAUUUGCUGCUCAUGAAGGGCAGCCAAAUACCCAGGGAUUGUGUUUGUCAGAAACCAUGGUCUUGAGUUCUGAGAUCUCCUGGUGGUUUAGCUUAUAGAUCUCCUGAAUUACUAAGACUGUUCAUUUUCUAUCUGGGGACUCUCAGUCUUUUUAUACAUUAAGUAUCUCUAUUAGGAGAAAUGACCUGGUACGAUGGUAUAUUAGGAGGAAGGUUUCACCUGAGACAGAGAGACUAUGUAGGCAGCUAUUGCAAGGGUUCAAAGGAAAAUAAUAAGGAACCGAAUUAGGGUUGGGAAAUAAAAACAAGGAUGAGAAAGAGAUAAAAUAGAGUUAUCAGUGGGUUUGGCAUAAGAAAGGAGCUUGGUGGAGAGAAAUUCUUAAGAAAUCACAGGACUCAUAAUACCUAUACCAAUUGUGGAAAAUUGUUAAAAUUCAACAGAAUAAAAGACUUUAUGGAC